rnacentral:rRNA from 1 species
CAGUAGCCACGGGAAUACGUAGGUGGCGAGCGUUGUCCGGAAUUAUUGGGCGUAAAGGGAGCGCAGGCGGACAUAUAAGUCCAUCUUAAAAGUGCGGGGCUCAACCCCGUGAGGGGAUGGAAACUGUAUGCCUUGAGUGCAGGAGAGGAAAGCGGAAUUCCCAGUGUAGCGGUGAAAUGCGUAGAUAUAGGGAGGAACACCAGUGGCGAAGGCGGCUUUCUGGACUGUAACUGACGCUGAGGCUCGAAAGCCAGGGGAGCGAACGGGAUUAGAUACCCCUGUAGUCCCUGUCUCUUAUACA